CGCGUAGGCGGUCUUUUAAGUCAGGUGUGAAAGCCCGGGGCUCAACCCCGGAAGUGCACUUGAAACUAAGAGACUUGAGUAUGGGAGAGGGAAGUGGAAUUCCUGGUGUAGCGGUGAAAUGCGUAGAUAUCAGGAGGAACAUCAGUGGCGAAGGCGACUUCCUGGACCAAUACUGACGCUGAGGCGCGAAAGCUGGGGGAGCGAAGA
rnacentral:rRNA from 1 species